AACGAACGCUGGCGGCAGGCUUAAUACAUGCAAGUCGAGCGGGCACUUCGGUGUCAGCGGCGCACGGGUGCGUAACGCGUGGGAACAUGCCUUUAGGUACGGAACAACGAAGGGCAACUUUGGCUAAUACAGUAUAAUAUCUCUGGAUCAAAGAUUUAUCGCCUAAAGAUUGGCCCGCGUUAGAUUAGGUAGUUGGUGGGGUAAUGGCCUACCAAGCCGACGAUCUAUAGGGGGGCGGAGAGGAUGAUCCCCCACACUGGAACUGAGACACGGUCCAGACUCCUACGGGAGGGAGCAGUAAAGAAUAUUGGACGAUGGGCGAAAGUCUGAUCCAGCCAUGCCGGGUGAGUGAUGAAGGCCUUAGGGUUGUAAAGCUCUUUUAGAUGGGAAGAUAAUGACGGUACCAUCAGAAUAAGCCCCGGCUAAAUUCGUG
rnacentral:rRNA from 1 species